UUAAUUNGAAGCAACGCGAAGANCCNUNACCAANUCUUGACAUCNUCUGACCCCUCUAGAGAUAGAGUUUUCCCCUUCGGGGGACAGAGUGACAGGUGGUGCAUGGUNGUCGUCAGCUCGUGUCGUGAGAUGUUGGGUUAAGUCCCGCAACGAGCGCAACCCUUAAGCUUAGUUGCCAUCAUUAAGUUGGGCACUCUAAGUUGACUGCCGGUGACAAACCGGAGGAAGGUGGGGAUGACGUCAAAUCAUCAUGCCCCUUAUGAUUUGGGCUACACACGUGCUACAAUGGACAAUACAAAGGGUAGCGAAACCGCGAGGUCAAGCAAAUCCCAUAAAGUUGUUCUCAGUUCGGAUUGUAGUCUGCAACUCGACUAUAUGAAGCUGGAAUCGCUAGUAAUCGUAGAUCAGCAUGCUACGGUGAAUACGUUCCCGGGUCUUGUACACACCGCCCGUCACACCACGAGAGUUUGUAACACCCGAAGCCGGUGGAGUAACCAUUUG
rnacentral:rRNA from 1 species